rnacentral:lncRNA from 1 species
UGAGACCUGUAAAACUAAAUUAUAUUUUCCUGAUGUAAUUAACAUCUCUGAGGCUUACUGCCUGCUUCUGAUAACCUAGGCCUAGUCCUGGAAGCAUCUAACCUCCGUAAAAUCUAAUCGAGGCCUAGAAUGUUUUUGGCCUCUGAGACUUGCUGCUGAAUAAGCUCACUCUUGCUCCCUCUUUCUGAGCUCUGGCUGCCUGGUCAACUCAGCUGUUCUGGGUCUGGGUCAAGCUCCUCUCUAAGCUGACUGAUUCACUCUGGCUUCUCUCAGCUUCUCCUGACUAGUUCUGCUUGGCCUCAUACUAAUUUUGGCAAAACUCUUCUGGUAAAACGGCUUCCUCUCUCCUUUGUCUCUCUGCUACUCUGCUCUCUUAUGUAGCUUCCUUUCCUCUCUCUUUUCUCGAGAGUUGGGCAUAGCCUUUUCUUUCAAAACUUUCUCUGAUUUGUCACUCCAUCUGCCACUCAAUAAGACAUCACUUUCAAACAUAUAGAAGGAAACUGAUGCCUCCUUCUACAAAUUAACUUUACCUUCAUUAUUUGGGAUUAAAAGUAUGUACUAAGAGUGUCUGCAUUCUAGCCAGAGAGAUUAAAGCUGUGUGCUAAGGCUGAGCCACAAUACAACUAGAAAUGGAUUUUUCCAGUAAACAACGCAAUCUCAGCAUGUACAGAGUGAACAUAUAUCCUGCAACAGAAACCAACAUUUAUUCAUCUCCUUAGCAGUGUUAGGACAACAAUAGAAUGCUUUUAAAAGCAAUUAGUUACAUAUUCAAGUAGUCAGAACCCCAUUAUAAUAUCAGUUUACUGUACAGUGAGUCGACAGUGAUCUGGCCUCUCACACAGAGCAGAUGGAUCAAAACUAAAUAAACCCCAAAGCAACCUGACGAUUAGUUGCUCUUAGAGAGUGAUUAGAGUCCAAGGUAGAGUCCUCAUGAAAGAGACAAUUCCUCUUAUAAUGGACAUUCCAGAGGGUCUAGGGAGUUGGCUUGGUCAGUAUGUUUAUAGACAGGAGGAUCACUGGGGCAUGCUCUUAGCUGAAUCAAGCUUCCGUAAGAGACCCUGUCUC